UUCCAGAUACCCGCUCAUUCUAUAAGGAGCAUGAGACUCUGAAUCUCAGGGUUGUGGGUUCAAGCCCCACUUUGGGCAAA